rnacentral:rRNA from 1 species
GCUAAGAAUAUUCCGCAAUGGACGAAAGUCUGACGGAGCGACGCCGCGUGGAUGACGAAGGCCGAAAGGUUGUAAAGUCCUUUUGUCGAUGAAGAAUAAGGGUAGGAGGGAAUGCCUGCCUGAUGACGUUAGUCGGCGAAUAAGCCCCGGCUAAUUACGUGCCAGCAGCCGCGGUAACACGUAAGGGGCAAGCGUUGUUCGGAAUUAUUGGGCGUAAAGGGUACGUAGGCGGUUUGGUAAGCCCGGCGUGAAAUCCUGCAGCUUAACUGUAGAGCUGCGCUGGGAACUGCGAAACUUGAGUCAUGGAAGGGGAGUUAGAAUUCCAGGUGUAGGGGUGAAAUCUGUAGAUAUCUGGAAGAAUACCGGUGGCGAAGGCGAACUCCUGGCCAAUGACUGACGCUGAGGUACGAAAGUGCGGGGAGCAAACAGGAUUAGAAACCCGGGUAGUCC